rnacentral:rRNA from 1 species
UACGUAGGGGGCUAGCGUUGGCCGGAUUUAUUGGGCGUAAAGAGCGUGUAGGCGGCCAGGUAAGUCUGCUGUGAAAACUCGAGGCUCAACCUCGAGACGUCGGCGGAAACCAUCUGGCUAGAGUCCGGAAGAGGAGAGUGGAAUUCCUGGUGUAGCGGUGAAAUGCGCAGAUAUCAGGAAGAACACCCGUGGCGAAGGCGGCUCUCUGGGACGGUACUGACGCUGAGACGCGAAAGCGUGGGGAGCGAACAGG